ACACCUAAAUUAAAAUGAUAAGAUCGUAAAACAUUUUUCUUGGUCUCAACAAAGUUUUUCGCCGGCGAGGCGGUGGCCGCCUCUUUCGUGAGGCGGUAGCCGCCUCCACCUCCGUCCCUGCUGCUUUAUGUUAUCUUUCGACCGCUUCUCCCAAGAUCUCAAAAGUCUAACACAGUGUUGUUGAAUCUUCUUUCUUGUUCUUUGAACAAGGGAUUAGUCGGCCCCCGCUCUGGUGUUUUUAGAUUUUGGGUUUGUUGGAUUUCGUCUCCAAUUUUGCUUCUCGUUUGUUGGGGGUUCUCUUCUAGCUUGUUUGGGGAGCUGGGUGAAGUGUGCUUCCUGUUCUUGUAGUUGGGUAUUGUAAUGGGGAGGCAGAGUGGUGGAGCGUGGCAUUCAAAUGCUGAGGUAGCUGGUGAUUGUUCUCUGUACGAUGAGGUAUGGGCAGAUGUUUUUGGUCCAAAUAUAGAAUCUAAUGCGAUUCCCAUGCAUUCACUCUGUCAGAAGAGUGACUCGUUUAAUGUCUUGGAGGCAGCUAGUUGGGGGCACGUGGUUCUUGAGGAAAAAUGUGUGCUACUUCCGAAGUCAAUAUGAAGGAUGUGUCAUUUUUGUUUAAUGAUGGGAUCAUGAACAUGGCUAUUGAUGAUAGAGUUGGGCUUAUGGUAUUAAACAGAGAUUACUAUGAGAUCUAAGGCUUUUGGUCUUUGUGGUUUUUAUCGUGGAUUUUUUUAGAAGAGCUGGAUUUAUAUUCUAAGUUCUUUUUUAGUCUGAGCUGCAGUGGGUUUAAGAUAUAUUGGUUGGCAAGGUGUGUUGUGGUAUUGCAGGAGGUUUUAGGAGGCUUAAGAAGUGUUAAUCUUUGUCGGGGAGUGAUUGUGUUUUGAAUUCUUCUAAUGGCGUUGGGGAGUGUUUGUGUGAUGAGUUUUGUGUGCUGGGAGGAAGUUUGUUGAAGUUAUGGCGCUAUGUUAGUGUUUUUAGCAGAUUUGGUGAUCAAGGUUUCUACUGAUGUUUGGAUACGUCUCUUUGCUGCUGUGUUCGCUAUAGUUCAAUAUUAUGGUUGCCCAUCUCGUUCUAUCUUAGUUCUGUUGCAUGGUUUGUAAUGGUGUUAGUUUGAGUUGGGUUGUGGCUUGGGGUAUGCCUUGUGUGUUGUUAGUGUGAUUUUUGUAUUCGAUCAUUCCCACCUAUUGGUUUACUAUUUUUCCUCCACUUAGGGUUAGGGAGGCUUUUUAAUGAGGUCAUCGAGGUGGUGUAAUUUACAAUUAUUCGUAAUACAAAGUACCAUCUUUAAAAAAAAUA